AUUGAACGCUGGCGGCAUGCCUUACACAUGCAAGUCGAACGGCAGCACGGGAGCAAUCCCGGUGGCGAGUGGCGAACGUGUGAGUAAUAUAUCGGAACGUGCCCAGUCGAGGGGGAUAACGUAGCGAAAGCUACGCUAAUACCGCAUACGAUCUAUGGAUGAAAGCGGGGGAUCGCAAGACCUCGCGCGAUUGGAGCGGCCGAUAUCAGAUUAGGUAGUUGGUGAGGUAAAGGCUCACCAAGCCGACGAUCUGUAGCUGGUCUGAGAGGAUGACCAGCCACACUGGGACUGAGACACGGCCCAGACUCCUACGGGAGGCAGCAGUGGGGAAUUUUGGACAAUGGGCGCAAGCCUGAUCCAGCAAUGCCGCGUGCAGGAUGAAGGCCUUCGGGUUGUAAACUGCUUUUGUACGGAGCGAAAAGGCUUCCACUAAUACUGGGGGCUCAUGACGGUACUGUAAGAAUAAGCACCGGCUAACUACGUGCCAGCCGCCGCGGUAAUAC
rnacentral:rRNA from 1 species